rnacentral:sRNA from 1 species
CAGCUUUAACCUCUUAAACAGUCACCGAGUUAGCGCACGGCUCAUCCAUUGAGCCAUUCCCCUAUGCCCGGAACAAUCUGGAUUGGUUCCGGGCUUUUUUUA